AUACGGAGGAUGCAAGCGUUAUCCGGAUUUAUUGGGUUUAAAGGGUGCGUAGGCGGUUUGCUAAGCGGGAGGUGAAAUGCCGGCGCUCAACGUCGGAAGUGCCUCCCUAACUGGUGGACUUGAAUGACUCUGCCGUGGGAGGAAUGUGUAGGGGAGCGGUGAAAUGCUUAGAGAUUACACAGAACACCGAUUGCGAAGGCAUCUCACGAAGGGUUGAUUGACGCUGAGGCACGAAAGCGUGGGGAUCAAACAGGAUUAGAUACCCUGGUAGUCCACGCAGUAAACGAUGAUGGCUAACCGCUGGGCUUAUCAGUUCAGUGGCCAAGCGAAAGCGAUAAGCCAUCCACCUGGGGAGUACGACCGCAAGGUUGAAACUCAAAUGAAUUGACGGGG
rnacentral:rRNA from 1 species